rnacentral:misc_RNA from 1 species
GAUGAAGAACGUAGCGAAAUGCGAUACUUGGUGUGAAUUGCAGAAUCCCGUGAACCAUCGAGUCUUUGAACGCAAGUUGCGCCCGAAGCCAUUAGGCCGAGGGCACGCCUGCCUGGGCGUCACACGUCGUUGCCCCCCCAUCUACUCCUUCGGGAUUGCGGGGGGCGGAUGAUGGCCUCCCGUGCGCCUCGCCGCGCGGUUGGCAUAAAUGCCAAGUCCUCGGCGACGCACGCCACGACAAUCGGUGGUUGCGAAACCUCGGUUGCCCGUCGUGUGCGGUCGUCGCGCAUCGAGGGCUCGAAAAAAUUGCCGGGUUCCGGCUCGGCUUUCAACGCGACCCCAGGUCAAGCGGGGUUACCCGCUGAAUUUAAGCAUAUCAAUAAGCGGAGGA